UUGAUCCAACAGGAUAAUGCAAAACCACAUAUUAAUCCCACUGAUCCGGUAUUUAUUGAAGCUGCUUCUAGAGAUGGAUUUGAUAUUCACUUGUCAUUUCAGCCUCCUAAUAGUCCGGACAUGAAUGUUCUUGACUUGGGAUAUUUUAGAGCUAUACAAUCCUUGCAACAUCAAGAAGCACCCUUGUCAAUUGAUGAGCUAAUUCUUGCUGUGGAAAAGUCAUUUGAUGAAUUAUCAAGUGAAAGUCUAAACAAUGUUUUCUUAACAUUGCAAUCAUGUAUGGUAGAGGUGAUGAAAAAUCUUGGGGGAAAUAACUAUAAAGUGCCACACAUUGGGAAGCACCAUUUAAUGAAAGAAAGUUGUCUUCCACUGCAAAUAGAAUGUGAAAAAGAACUUGUGAAUCAAGCUCUAAGUCAUAUGCAAGCAUGAUUAUCUUCAUUGGACAGGUACUUAAACUUUACUAAUCAUGUGUUUUGAACAAAAUGAUGGUUGAAGUCAAGCAAUCCAACCCUUUUGAUUUUGUGAUGCAAGCUUUUGAUUGGGCAAAGAAUAUAGAAGCACUUUUAUGUACUAGUGGUUUUUCAUUGACUGCUUUUAUUUCACUUUACAAGAUUUUAGAAUAGCUCAGUCAAGUUAGCUUGACGUUAGUAGUAGUAGUGCUGAUUUUUGUACAAAAGGGAAAAUGUGCAAUGCUGAGUGAAGCUAUGUACAUGUAUAAACAUUGAAACACUACUUUUGUUGGAGUUUUUGAA